GUCGUCGUGGCCGAGUGGUUAAGGCGACAGACUAGAAAUCUGUUGGGCUCUGCAAGCACAGGUUCGAAUCCUGUCGGCGACG
rfam:Ciona savignyi cont_35801, whole genome shotgun sequence.